rnacentral:tRNA from 1 species
GCCCCGAUGGUGUAGAGGACUAUCAUGCGGGCCUGUCGAGCCCGCGACUCGGGUUCGAAUCCCGAUCGGGGCG